GGAAAGCAUGGAUGGAGAGAUAC
rnacentral:siRNA from 1 species